rnacentral:rRNA from 1 species
UACGUAGGUGGCGAGCGUUGUCCGGAUUUACUGGGCGUAAAGCGUCCGCAGGCGGCCUGUUAAGUUGGGUGUGAAAGGUUGGGGCUCAACCCCAAGCUGCACCCAAUACUGGCAGGCUCGAGUCUCGGAGAGGAGAACGGAACUGCACGUGUAGCGGUGAAAUGCAUUGAGAUGUGCAGGAACACCAGUGGCGAAAGCGGUUCUCUGGACGAGCACUGACGCUGA